AUGUCGUCGUUCGCCGGCGUCUCUGUGGUGGAGGACGGCGGGCUGUGCGACUCCACCGUGGCCUUCAUCAACACCAGCUCCGAGUGCGGGUACCACCUGCUUGUGGUCGAAAACUACUCACGUACCAACAAGUCGAGACCCACUAGCGAGAGCGUCACCUCCCGCGAGUUCGGGGUAGGAGGCCAUUGUUGGCUCAUCAAGUGCUUCCCUAACGGCAAGAGCACGGAUUGCGCCGACUUCGUUUCCCUCGAUGUUGUUCUUGAUGACGACGAUGACGGCAAGACGCCUGUGAAAGCCAAGUUCACCUUCAGUUUCAUCGACCAGGUUGAGAUGCAGAAUCCUCUCUACGUUGGUCAAGCUGAAACAUGCAGCUUUCCCUCCAAGGGUUCUUCUUGGGGCUACGACAGGUUUGUGAGAAAAGACGCCGUUGAACGAUCAAUGAAUCUGGAGGCUGAAUGUUUCACCAUCCGGUGUGACAUCAUGGUCUGCAACACCGAGGAUGAUGAUGCCGCUGGCCAUGGAAACGGGGUGCGCCUGCCUGACAUUUGCCAUCAUUUUAACAAUCUCCUUCAAACCAAGGUUGGUGCUGAUGUCACAUUUGAGGUCAGUGGUGAGACGUUCCCUGCACACCGGUGUGUGCUUGCAGCCAGGUCUAAAGUCUUCAUGGCACAACUCUUUGGCCCCAUGAAGGAGACAUCCACCGUCAUACAUAUCAAAGACAUGGAAGCAAAAGUGUUCAGGGCUUUGCUUAGUUUCAUCUACACAGACUCGUUCCCUGGGAUGGAGAUGGAUGACAUGGAGGACGACGAAACAGAAGUUGAUGAGAUGCGGCUGCAAUGGCUGCAAGACUUGUUGGUAGCGGCAGACCGAUAUGAUCUUCAACGACUCAAGUUCAUAUGUGAAAUGCAGUUGUCUGAGAACAUACAGGUGAGCUCGGUGGCGUCUACACUAGUUCUAGCCGAGCAGCACCACUGCUCCGGAUUGAAGGAGGCGUGCUUCAAGUUUAUCCAAGCCCAGUCUCCAUCGUGUUUGCAAACACUAAUGGCGUCUCAUGGUUGGCAGCAUAUACUUGCAACAUAUCCCCUUGUUUUGAACGAGCUCAUUGCCAAGCUUAUUGCUUUGAAUCAGAAGUGA
rnacentral:rRNA from 1 species